AGGUUUGUGCAGUGGCAGUAUCAUAGCCAAUGAGGUUAAUCUGAGGUGUGAUUAUGGCUACAUGAUUUCCAAGCCACUCUCCAUCAUCUGUCAGCAGUCCUGGCUAAUGGGGGAGGUCCCAGUUGACUGG
rnacentral:snRNA from 1 species